ensembl:snRNA U6 U6 spliceosomal RNA
GUGCUCGCUUUGGCAGCACAUAUACUAAAAUUGGAAUGAGACAGAGAUGAUUAGCAUGGCCCCUGCAUAAAGAUAACAUGCAAAUUUGUGAAGCAUUUCAUAUUUUU